rnacentral:lncRNA from 13 species
CGCAACCAUGGGUAGAGUUCUUGUUGGGUUGAUGCUGCCACAAUUCCCUAUGAAGUAGUGGGUCUCUACAAUCAACUUAGCUGACAUGAUAUGGACACCGGGUUCAAAUUACACUCACAUGAGAACUCAUUCCCAACAUCUGAGUUUAAUUAGGAUUGCUGCACAACAGAAGAGCAUCAGAGAAGCAAUGCAGAUGAAAUCCAUGACAUUCAAAGAACCUGAGCAUCAGGUUACUGAUCUUCAAACCUGCAACACAAUGCUUUCGAUAAAAACUAAGUGCCCCUCGCUCCGUGCCCCUCGCUCCGUCCCCCUCCCUAGAGUGCCUGUUUGUAUCCCAUGGUUUGUUUGGCCUCUCUCACUGCCUCGGAUGGGUGGUAGGGAUUCCAGUCGUCUCUGGGACGUUAGAGACAGUCUGAAUGGUCUGUGAUGCAUGUACUGAAGACCUGAGCCAGAUUCCCCGUGGAUGAAUAAAGUCAAAAGGCUGAAGUCCAAAACCACCACAAAUAAAGUGUCACAUUUAUUGAUGACAAAAGUUGGAGUCUUACAAUAAAACUGUAUCUUUAAAGUAAAGGUUUCACUCCUUACUGAGCUGUGUCGUGAUCUUGAGAGACAUGCAUGACACUUCUUUGGCUGUGGUGGAAAUGGCUUUAGCAUGACCACCAUAACACAAGAUGUUUGGUAGGUAGGUAAAGAGGAGGGAAAGGACCGGAGAUAUGGCUUUUGUCUGACAAUGUGAAAAGGAAAUUAAACAAUGAACAAACCAGACAUGAGACCUAGAUUCUUUGAAGGGUGAAAUUGACUGACACACGGAAGGUCUACUUUGGGUUUUAAAAGCCUAGUAAAUCACUUGUGUUGUAACUGAAUGUAUAGCGUGUUGUCUGUUUGUCCACAUCUUUGCCUGAUUUGGUUAGACCUUAGUUUUGUGGUAAUUUGUCAGGAUGGUCCAUUAAUUCUAGUCAUGGUCAAGUUCUAAAUAUUGUAGCAAUACUGCAUCAAAUGUUGUUUCUUUGAUCUGUAAUAUGGUCAGGUCCAUAAUUAUUAGCACCCUUGAUAAAGAUGAGCAAAAAAGUCUGAAUAAAAUAAAUAAUACAAAUACUGAGCUGUAUUGUAUGCCCCAAACAAAAAUGCGAUUAUUUAUACUAAAACAAUUGCUCAGAGAAAAAUAUUUUGUUUUAAGUAACACAAAAAUAUAUAAAAAAGACAGGGGUCAAAAUGAUUGGCACCCCUGUUUUCAACACUCUAGUACCCUCCUGGUUUAUGAGAUUUGAGAACACGUUGGGAGGGUUCUUAGACCAUUCCUUCAUAGAUUAAGAUGAAGAUGACUUUAUUGGUCCAACCUGUAUACAUACAGCACAUAUACAGGUUUUUGGAGGGGUGUGUGUGUGGGGGGGGGGGGGCUGCUGCAUUGGGAACCUUGCUCGAGGGCACAACAGCAGGCAAUGGCAUCUAGGACUUGAUACCAGCAACCCUCCGGUUGCCAGCUCACUUCCCGAUAGAUUCCUUUGUUGGACCUGGGAUUUGAACUGGCAGCACUCCGGUUGCAGGCUUGCCUCUCUAACUAACCUCUAGGCCACCUGCCGCCAAAGAGCUCUAUUGUCAUGUCAUCUGAUAAUAGCACGGGUUCCAAUCUAAGUGUGAAUGCUGUUUAUCAAACUCCAAGCGGUGCUAUGGUCAGAUGACAUGAAAAUAGAGCUCUUUGGCCUCAAGUGGUGGGUUUGGCAUCGUAAAACAGAAGAACCCCAUACCUAAUUUAAAAUAUGGUGGUGCAUCUUUGAUGUUAUGGGGCUAUUUUGUUUUCACUGGUCCUGUGACCCUUGUUAAGGUCAACGGCAUCACACACUUUACCAAGUACCAGGACAUUUUAGCCAAAAACCACGUUGCCUUUGCCAGGAGGCUGAGAUUUGGCCACAAGUGGAUCUCCAGCAGGACGAUAACCCCAAGCACACAUAAAAAUCCACAAAUUAAUCAUUAAUUGACCACAAAAUCAACAUUUUGCAAUGGCCAUCUCAGUCUCCGGAAUUAAACCCCAUUGAAUUGAAGAGAGCAGUCCAUCAGUGCAGACAAAGGAAAUUAAGGACCUGGAAAGAUUAUGUAUGGGGAAAUGGUCUAAAAUUCCCCCCAUUGUGUUCUCCAAUCUCAUAAAACAUUUUAGAAAAAGGCUCACUGUCGCUAUCCUCCCAAGGAAUGGGUGCUGGAGUAUUGAACACACGGGUGCCAAUCACUUUUACCAUAAUCUUUUAAAGAUUUUUUUUAUUACUUGCUUAACAAAAUCUCUCUCUGAGCUAUUAUAUCAGCAUAAAAUAAUAUAAUUUCCCCUUUGUUUUUUUUUUACAUGCAAUACAGCUCAGUAUUUGUGUUAUUUAUUUUAUAGUCUUAUAAAAUCUUUAUCAACGGUGCCAAUAAUUAUGGACCCGACUGUAUUUUAAAGGGACAUCUCUGUCGUGUUGAUUACCACUCACGAUGAAAGGAUAAAAAGCAAACUCCUCAGCAAAUAUGUAUUUCUAAAAAGAAGAAGAGGCCCUAAAGGAAACAGAUGAAGACAACACUCCGAGCCUCACCUUUUAAGGAGGAUACCAGCAAUGGUCAGAAGCACCCAGGUGGCAUUGAUAAGACUGAAGUCAAUAGAGACCUAACCUGUCUGGCAACACUUCCACCGUGAAAGACAGGAAAACAGAUAAAUAUAAAAGAUACAGAAGACAGGGGGAGAGGGGGAUAUGGGAAUAGGAAACGAGAGGAGAGAAAUUGAGGAGAGAGAAUUUCCACAAUUCACUCCAAACCUGUUCUGAGCAACUGGUAGGACUUGGACUCAGAAGGGGAGGGAACAGGGUGAGAGGGAGGGGUAGAGGAGAGAAAGAGAGAGAGGGAUAGGAGGGGAGAAAAACAACCUCUCCCUUACUCUAUCUGACACACACGCACACUCACCCUCACACACACAGACACACACUAGCAACUAAGCAACAUAAUAAAAAAAAAACUCGCACACAUAGAUCUUCAAAGCCAACUGGCUUUCAUAGACCGCCAAUUAUCCUAAGAGAUUACAUCUGGGGGGAUUGCGUCAGAUAAAUAAGGUGAGAAGAGUGACAAGACCCAGUCACCUCAGCGCAGCGAGACAGACAGGGAGAGGAACUCCUCAACAGAGAUCCCAACAGGAGAGAGAGAGAGAGGGGCACUCAGAGAAGAGAAGCAGCACGCAGCCACUCCACUCACAGGGACUCAGCUCAGAGAGACGGAGAAAAGAGAAGGAAAGCUCCAGCUCACACUCUACUCUAGCUCAGAGGGACCAGGGCACAGAGACCCAGCGCUUCCAUUCUCACUUCCCCCACAUAGAGGAGCACAGCACACCAAGAAAGAGACACUCCAGCUAAGAGGCUCUAUUAAACAGACAAGUAACUUCAGAGGAACAUCCAGAGACCAGAAGAAAAGCAAGGAUUACAUGAUUCCUUUUUUCCCCCAUCCUUUGAUUCUUCAUUUUGAUGAGAAACAGCUGUAGUGUUUAUCUUGAGAUUUGUUUUAUUUAUUCAUUUUUUUGAACAUUUUUGUUGUCUCCCCGUCCCCUCUUCUAACCCUCCCCUUAUCUCAUCCUCUCCAGAGGUGGUAGAGGUAGCUUCUCAUUAGUAUUGUACGAGGAGAGUGAGCGGCAGAGGGCGAGAGGUGCUGGUUUCCCAGUUUUGAGUUAUGUAUGUUGACACAUUCCUUUGGAACACGGGAGGAAUAAGCAGCAGAAAGAGCAGCAGCAGUGUUGUCGUGGUCAUCCGCCGGGGGUUCCAUCUCCCGCUCUCAGCCCUUCUCCCUCUCCCCCAUCCAGCAUGGUCCUUUCUGUGAGCUUUUCUCCA